rnacentral:rRNA from 1 species
UACGUAGGGUGCAAGCGUUGUCCGGAAUUAUUGGGCGUAAAGAGCGCGUAGGCGGCCCUGUAAGUCCGCUGUGAAAGUCAAGGGCUCAACCCUUGGAUGCCGGUGGAUACUGCAGGGCUAGAGUCCGGAAGAGGCGAGUGGAAUUCCUGGUGUAGCGGUGAAAUGCGCAGAUAUCAGGAGGAACACCGAUGGCGAAGGCAGCUCGCUGGGACGGUACUGACGCUGAGGCGCGAAGCGUGGGGAGCAAACAGG